rnacentral:tRNA from 1 species
AAGUUUGAAACAAAAAAUUGUAUUCAGUUUCGGCCUGAAAUUUUAGUUUAUUAAAACUCUAACUUU